UUUGACAUUCUCCACAAACCCUAGAAACCAAAGCUGUUCGUGUGCCAUUUCUUCUUCCUUUUUACUCAUUCCAAUUCCAAAGCCCAAUUCAAUGAGAACCAACAGUUCUUUAUUGUUGCUUGAAGAUCAGACAUCUAUUAUUCGAUCGAUUAGAUUAUACAAGGUUUUGGUUAACAGGCUCAAUCGCAAAGUAUAAAUAGAUUCUGUAUUCCAUCUGUUUGGCGAGACCAAGAGUCAAUUCCGGUGAUUCUCGCAAGCUUCACACUUUUAUUGAUUGUACCCAUGGAGCCGCCAGCCAUUCUUCCUCUCAUUGGAGGAGGGAACCAGUAAGUGAAAAUGAAUGUUGCGGACUAGAACAGUGCAAGGAGAUGCUACAGGAAUCUCUGUAACUGACAAUAGGGAAUAGUGGAAGUCUUCUUCAUCUGUGAUGGAAUUGUAUUUAACAAGGCUACAAUUGAAUAUGCUGGAUAAUGAAUGAUGAGUUUACAUGACAAUUCAGAAUUUUAUUCUUAAGAUGGUUGAUGGACGUCAAUGGGAGUUGAAAAUAUCCAUUGUUAUGACAGCCGACAGACUUCAAAAUAGGCCGAUAUCGGAACUGUGAUCAGGCUGCGGUUUCGAGUUAUUGGGGGAUUUCAUGAUCUAACCAAGUGGACAUGGAACUGUUGUAUGAUGUUCUUCUAAUUAAAUAAAACAAUAAGGGUGCAUGAAAACUUGAAUAAAGGUCUGAAACUAUUUAGCACCAGUGAAGACGGCGGGCAACAACUUUUUCAGGCAGAUUUUGAUUGGUUCUUCUACAAAUAUAUUAUGAAAUGGAUCAACCAAGGGAAUUUAUGGGCUGAUACUAAAACACAAGAAGACCAGCCAAGUUAAGUUCUUGAUUUUUUUACUUUGCUCAAUAGAUACUUCCCAUGUAAUAGUAUAUUAUUUUCUGGCUGUUAUGUACAUAUUCCUUUACACGAAAGUAAUUUUUGUAGGCUCCUGAAAUUGGUUUAAUAGAGCUUGAGAGUCUUUUUCCAGUUGUUUCUAUUUCUAACAACAAAGGUGGAGCUCGCCGAGUUGCAAAAAUUAAUAAACCUGAGAAGGUUUAGGGUUUGCCCCUGUUGCCAGCUGAUCAGGUGAAUGUGGCAAUUGAGUUUUUGAAGCAACGAGUGGGAUCACCAACUAUAAUGGGGCAAGGAGUUCCCGUGCUGUUUAUUGAACACCCCGCCAUUAUAUCUAUUACUAAGCUUUCAAGUUGCUCACUAUUUUGUACUUGUGUAUAUCAUGAAGUGAAUUCACCGGCUAAACUUAGUACUGAAUCAUGUCAGUUUAUGUAUAAAUAAUAUUCAUGUAACAUCUCAUGGGUGCAUAGUGUAAUGCCCGGGAAAAGUGGCCUUUUCACUUAAGGUUAUACUCAUCAAAAGAAGUACUCAGAAGUGUUGCGGUUGAGUUCUGGUGUGCUAUUUUAUUGAAACAAAAAUAAGCUAAACCUUUAUUUGGGUUGUUAUUGUAUUCUAAUGCAGGGAAGCCACCAUCUGCUUACCACAUGUUAGGAGCAUGUUUAUUUAAGCAAAAAGGCUUAAAGUUGGUGAUUCUGUUUUGUUUGUUAGGUAUUCUUCUUUUCAAAAUAGUCAAAAUAUGGAUUCAAAUUCAUGCAGCAAGUUUGAUUUUACAUGUAAUUUAAUAUAGCUUAUAUUUUACUUAUU
rnacentral:lncRNA from 1 species